CAGGGAGACAACAAAAUGUUUAAUAUUAUUAUUUUGUCACCUUAGGUCGAUCGGUAUCUCACGUUUUUAAUUUAUUAAGAAUUUCAUUUCCUAAGUUUUUCUAGGUCACACCCAUUAUUUUUCCUGGGCCAUUAGCUCAGGUGGUUAGAGCGCACCCCUGAUAAGGGUGAGGUCCCUGGUUCAAGUCCAGGAUGGCCCAUAUCUCAAUGUUGGGGGUAUAGCUCAGUUGGUAGAGCGCCUGCUUUGCAAGCAGGAUGUCAGCGGUUCGAGUCCGCUUACCUCCACUGAUCACCACCUCUUCCAUAAUCGGUAGAAAGGAAAUUUUUUGAGUUGUGAUCAAAUUCUGAAAGAAUCUAGCUUCCUAAUGAAAUCAUUAAGAUGCUGGACUCAUUGAAUUAAUUUCAUUGUUUUCAGAGAACCUUGACAACUGCAUAGAUUAUUUUUAAAGACAAUAAGCAUCUUUAAUGAUGCAGAUUUAUUAUUUGUGCAAAUGCAUUAAUAACAAUUCUAUUAAGCUGAUGCUUCAAUAUUUGAAGUUAUU
rnacentral:tRNA from 1 species